UUUACCAAACAAAUAGCUUGCAGGUAGCUUGCAGCAGGCUCGCGUUGCUUUUGGAUUGACUAACUUUGCAUAAUUAAUGUAUUUUCAAUUCCCAACGAUGGAAGAAUGUGAUUUCGACCGGCAAUUUUUAUUUGACGAGUAUGUGGCCAUUUCUCAUCGUUACGAUUUAGAAAAGAUAUCAUAGAGAAGCUAAAUAACAGCUUUUUCGACUUUCGUC